rnacentral:rRNA from 1 species
GACGAACGCUGGCGGCGUGCUUAACACAUGCAAGUCGAACGGAAAGGCCCUGCUUUCGUGGGGUGCUCGAGUGGCGAACGGGUGAGUAACACGUGAGUAACCUGCCCUUGACUUUGGGAUAACUUCAGGAAACUGGGGCUAAUACCGGAUAGGAGCUCCUGCUGCAUGGUGGGGGUUGGAAAGUUUCGGCGGUUGGGGAUGGACUCGCGGCUUAUCAGCUUGUUGGUGGGGUAGUGGCUUACCAAGGCUUUGACGGGUAGCCGGCCUGAGAGGGUGACCGGCCACAAUGGGACUGAGAGACGGACCAGACGCCUAUGGGAGGCAGCAGGGGGGAAUAUUGCACAAUGGGCGGAAGCCUGAGGCAGCAACGCCGCGUGCGGGAUGACGGCCUUCGGGUUGUAAACCGCUUUCGCCUGUGACGAAGCGUGAGUGACGGUAAUGGGUAAAGAAGCACCGGCUAACUACGUG